GAUGAACGCUGGCGGCGUGCUUAACACAUGCAAGUCGAACGAUGAAGCCCAGCUUGCUGGGCGGAUUAGUGGCGAACGGGUGAGUAACACGUGAGUAACCUGCCCUUGACUCUGGGAUAAGCCCGGGAAACUGGGUCUAAUACCGGAUAGGAGCGCCUGUCGCAUGACGGGUGCUGGAAAGAUCUUUCGGUCAUGGAUGGACUCGCGGCCUAUCAGCUUGUUGGUGAGGUAAUGGCUCACCAAGGCGACGACGGGUAGCCGGCCUGAGAGGGUGACCGGCCACACUGGGACUGAGACACGGCCCAGACUCCUACGGGAGGCAGCAGUGGGGAAUAUUGCACAAUGGGCGGAAGCCUGAUGCAGCGACGCCGCGUGAGGGAUGACGGCCUUCGGGUUGUAAACCUCUUUCAGUAGGGAAGAAGCGAAAGUGACGGUACCUGCAGAAGAAGCACCGGCUAACUACGUG
rnacentral:rRNA from 1 species